AGCCCAGCAAAUGAGACACAGCUGGCGUGGAGUGAACGGAGAUGACGUGACUCUCACCAUACGGCUCUGGGUGGACGGCCAGGCUGUGGAGGCGUGUCAUCCGGGCUGAAUUACUGAAAGUUCUCCAACAUCGGGAAAAAGUGCACCGUGCUAAACGCUUCUGCUCUACCGCAACAUGCACAGCAGCCACGUCACGCGGGCGCUGCUCUCCAUUCUCUGCAUCGGACUGAGUGGUAAGAAGAACACUACGUAUGAACUCUACGCGGGCUCGCUCUUAGCCCAGUCCGAGCAGGACACGGACGAGGUGGUCCCCCGGCUGCUGUCGGGUCAAGAGGCGCACCUGUCCUCCGGCCGCUCGGCCAGUCCGCCGUGGCGCCGCGGGCAGCGCUCCACGGACGCCCCGCGGGGACGACACUCCGACCCGGCCCAGAUCAUCGUGUCGCUGACUGCAUUCGGAAUGAGGCUGUAUUUAAAUCUUACGUGGGACAGCACGUUUAUCUCAGGGGACUUCGAGGUCGAGGAGAGACGCGGAGACCAGAGCGCUGCGUCCAGCCGUUUAUCGAAGAAGCAGCUGUGCUUUUACUCCGGUUCCGUCAUCAACCACACCGGUUCUGUGGCGUCACUGAGCACGUGUGGCGGCCUGACUGGGCUCAUCCAGAUCAGGGAGGAGAGUCUAUUCAUUCAGCCAGUGGGCGAAUAUGGCCCCUAUCAGUCCUUCUCGGGAAUGAAACACUGGCUGCUGCGACACCAACGCUGUGCCACGACCAGCUCUUCUCCAGAUGGCAACUGCUGGAUCGUACGAGGUAAGGAGAAGAUGCCAAACAUGGGGGAGAAGGGUCGCAGGAAGAGAAACGUCCUUCACCUGCAGGAAGCAUACACUGUGGAGACAGUGGUGGUGGCCGACUCUAAUAUGGUGCAGUACCACGGAGCUGAGGCAGCACAGAGGUUCUUGCUGACAGUCAUGAACAUGGUCUACAAUAUGUUCCAGCACAAGAGUCUGGGAGUCAAGAUUAACAUUCGUGUGACCAAGCUGGUAAUUCUUCACAGCCGUCCCGAACAGCUAAAGGUGGGCCAUCAUGGAGAGAGGUAUCUGGAGAGCUUCUGCCAUUGGCAGCAUCAAGAAUUUGGGAGGUUACGCUACCUUGGUACCGACCAUUUCCCCGGUGGAUGGGAAGACAUCCCACCAGUGGACACUGCUGUGCUGGUCACCAGGACAGAUUUCUGCGUUCAUAAAGAUGAACCCUGUGAUACUGUGGGUAUUGCUUAUUUAGGGGGUGUCUGCAGUGCCAAGAGGAAGUGUGCGUUAGCAGAAGACAAUGGACUCAAUUUGGCUUUCACCAUUGCUCACGAGUUGGGACACAACAUGGGUAUGAGCCAUGAUGACGAUCACGCCACCUGCACCAGUCAUUCCCACAUCAUGUCUGGUGAAUGGAUUAAAGGUAGAAACCCCAGUGACCUGUCCUGGUCCUCCUGCAGCCGCACUGACCUGGAGAACUUCCUCAGGUCCAAAGCCAGUGCCUGCUUACAGCAAACAGACUCCAGGAGCCGUUACCAGAUCCGCCUUCCUCCAAAGCUACCAGGCAUGCAUUACAGUGUGGAUCAACAGUGCCAGAUACUGUUUGGAACCAAUGCCAGCUUUUGCAGUAAUAUGGAGCACCUGAUGUGCGCUGGAUUGUGGUGUUUAGUGGAGGGAGAUGCAGCCUGCAAGACCAAACUGGAUCCUCCCCUGGACGGAACAGAGUGUGGGCCAGAUAAAUGGUGCAGGUCCGGUAAGUGUGUGAAUAAGACUCCCAUCCCUCAGCAUGUGGACGGUGACUGGAGUCCAUGGAGCCAGUGGAGCGUGUGCAGCAGAACCUGUGGUACUGGAGUCCAUUUCAGACAGAGGAAAUGUGACAACCCUCCGCCUGGUCCUGGUGGACGACACUGUCAGAAGGCCAAUGUGGAGCACAAGGCCUGUGAGCGUCCUCCCUGUCCCAAUGGGGCAACAGGCUUCAGAGACCAGCAAUGUCUGUCCUAUGACCAACACGGCAGCAAAAACAAAGGCUUGCUGACGGCUAUUAUUAAUGAUGAGAAGCCUUGUGCGUUAUUUUGCAGCCCAGUGGGUCGAGAUGUCCCGGUCCUGAUGGCUGACAGAGUGAUGGAUGGGACGCCCUGUGGACCAUAUGAGGCAGACCUGUGUGUCAAUGGAAGAUGUCAGAAAAUUGGCUGUGAUGGCAUCGUCGGCCCUACAGCCAAAGAGGACCACUGUGGUGUAUGUAACGGAGAUGGGCGCUCCUGUAAGAUAGCGAGCGGAAAAUUCACCCACACCAAAGGAAUGGGGUACAUUGAAGCCGUCAUUAUUCCUGCAGGAGCCAGGAGGAUUAAAGUUGUUGAGGACAAACCAUCACACAGCUUUCUAGCUCUGAGAGACUCCAUCAAGAGGUCUAUCAACAGCGACUGGAAGAUUGAGCUUCCUGGAGAAUUUGAGCUGGCCGGAACCACGGUACACUACGUUAGAAGGGGACUGUGGGAGAAGAUGUCUGCCAAGGGACCCACCAAGACACCCUUACACCUGAUGGUGCUGCUCUUUCAUGACCAGAGCUAUGGGAUCCACUAUGAGUACACAGUGUCUCUGAACACAACCCAGGACAGUGACACACAUCUCUACAUCUGGACUCACAGCAACUGGCAGGACUGUACUGUCAAAUGUGGUGGAGGAGGUGGGGUUAAAGAUUUACAUAGAAACGACUGGGCCGGGGAGCUAACCGGGAACUCCAUUUCCACCGUGCUGUUCCUGGCCUCCCUCUCGGACAGCUUCCGGGUUGUCAUGUGGAUGUCAUAGUUCCUCUUUUGCCUCACACCUGCACUGCGUAGCUGGUUCCUGGCAAACUCAUGGGCAGACUCCAAGCGAUCCUGGAGUUUCCUCGCGUACUCAAGCCCUGGAGGACCUGCAGAGGCAUCAGGGGGUUUCCCCAUCAUCAUCUCGGCUGGCGUCCGGAUCUCUCUGCCUAGCAUGAGAAGGGCAGGAGAGCAGGAAGUGGACUCCUGCACCGCAGAUCUGUAGGCCAUCAGCACAAGAGGAACGUGGUCAUCCCAGUCGCGUUGGUGUUUUGCUGUUACUGGGGCCAGCUGUUGCGCCAGCGUGCAGUUAAAUCUUUCAACUAGUCCAUCACUCUGUGGGUGAAGUGGUGUAGUGCGAGUCUUGUGUGAGCAAAGUUUUUCACACAUGGCAGAGAAGUUCCUGCCCUAGUCUGUGUGGAUGAUUUCAGGUGCGCCAAAUCUGCUCAACAUCCCUCCCACCAGAGCGUCCACUACAGUCUCUGCCUCCUGGUUUGAGAGGCUGUAUGCCUCGGGCCACUUGGUGAAAGUCCAUAGCAGUGAGGAUGUACCGGUUACCUCUCUCAGUGUGGGAAAACGGUCCGAGGCCAUCAAUCCCCACCCUCUCCAUGGGGCAUCCUGCUGGAAACUGUUGGAGUUGGGCAUGAGAUCUGCCUGCAGGCCCCUUACUUGCAGUGCAGCUGUCGCAGCAGCGGCAGAAGUCCUCUACGUCCUGCCUGUGUUGGCCCCAGUAGAACCCUUGACGGAGGCGGCGCAGGGUCUUAUUAACGCCAAAAUGACCAGAUCCUGGAGCCCCGUGUCGCUCCUCAAGGGUGGCAGCCCUCACAAGCUGGGUCAGCUCCCCCAUCCAGGCAGGCUGCACCUUGUCCAUCUCAACCCCACCAGCAGGUCUCCCUGUUGGGGAAUUUCCAACUCCCCCGUCAAAGCACACAGCAUCUCUCUCUGUUGCAGACUCCAGAGCAUCCUGGAGGGACCCAAGGUGAGAGGAGGACAGUGGUUUCCUGUGUGAGGAUAGCCAAUAAAACCAUGGAAGCAGUCAACAACAGCUACUGUCAUCCUGAAAACCGACCACUACCCAAAGUACGACUCUGCAACUCUCAACCCUGUCAGUACCGG